rnacentral:lncRNA from 10 species
GCACAAAUUUGCAAUGCAAAGCUGAAUCAACCAUCUUGGGAAGUGAUAAACAUGAAGAAAUAUCCAAGAAAAUUAUAGAAAUGCCCUAACAAGUUUGAGCCACAGAACCAUCACCAACAACUGCCUAUUUCCAGAUUUCUAGUGAUACAAGAAAAAAAACCUCCCUUUGUUUAGACACUUUAUUUGUAUUUUCUAUUCCCUGUAGCAAAAACAUUCCUUACUAACAUUUCUAUUUCUCAUUUUGUGCAUAAAUGCAUAUUCCAUAAAGGAGAGCCAAGAUACCCACCUUGGAGCCCAAGCUGAGGGGUAUUUUCGAUGUGUAUCUUGUGGAACCAGUCCUGCCAAUCUCAUCCAGUGACUAAAAAUGCCUAACCUCCUGGGAAUGGAGGUCAAGCAAGUUUCAGCCUCAUUUUACACAACACCUAUUCAAGAUGGAGGUGCUCUGGUUCAAAUCACUCUGACAAGCAGUCACUACCCCUGCCCCAAAGCCAAGCAUUGUAGGGAAUCUUAUCUGGUAACAAAGAGUUGAUCUGAAGUGAUGUUUGAAAAUGAGUGGGGUGGUUGUUUGUUGAAUCAGUGAGACAAUGAGUAGGGAAUGAGGGAGACUGUCAUUUAAUUGGUAAAGACCAGAGGUGCUAAUUGUUCUGCAAUUCCAUAGCAUUUCACUCAGCAUUCCACAAAAUCAAGCAUGCUCCCUCCCGAAAUAUUCACAUCGCCCCACUGAGAAACUGCCCCAGAGCACCCUGGGGAAGCUCAGCUUUGCAUUCCCACUUCUAUUAGACAGCCUUUGUGACACACACACCUUGUCCCUGUGAACAUGGUGAAUGGAAAUUAUCUUCUCCACAUUAACUUUGAAUACAUGGGCCAAGGAAAUGGCCCUAGGUGUAUACCAGUCCUGCUUCUUUCUCACUCCUUGGCUAGAGA